UGGCUCAGGAUGAACGCUGGCGGUCUGCUUAACACAUGCAAGUCGAACGGGUGUAGAAAUACAUUAGUGGCGGACGGGUGAGUAACGCGUGAGAAUCUGGCAACAGGUUCGGGACAACCACUGGAAACGGUGGCUAAUACCGGAUGUGCCUUAAAUGGUGAAAGAUUUAUCGCCUGUUGAUGAGCUCGCGUCUGAUUAGCUAGUAGGUGUGGUAAGAGCGCACCUAGGCGACGAUCAGUAGCUGGUCUGAGAGGAUGAUCAGCCACACUGGGACUGAGACACGGCCCAGACUCCUACGGGAGGCAGCAGUGGGGAAUUUUCCGCAAUGGGCGAAAGCCUGACGGAGCAAGACCGCGUGAGGGAGGAAGGCUCUUGGGUCGUAAACCUCUUUUCUGUGGGAAUAAUUAAGUGAAGGUACCACAGGAAUCAGCAUCGGCUAACUCCGUGCCAGCAGCCGCGGUAAUACGGAGGAUGCAAGCGUUAUCCGGAAUGAUUGGGCGUAAAGAGUCCGUAGGUGGUGAUUCAAGUCGAUUGUUAAAGAGCGGGGCUUAACCCCGUAAAAGCAGUGGAAACUGAAUCGCUAGAGAGAGGUAGGGGUAGAGGGAAUUCCCGGUGUAGCGGUGAAAUGCGUAGAGAUCGGGAAGAACACCAGUGGCGAAGGCGCUCUACUGGACCUCAUCUGACACUGAGGGACGAAAGCUAGGGGAGCGAAAGGGAUUAGAUACCCCUGUAGUCCUAGCCGUAAACGAUGGAUACUAGGUGUUGUCUGUAUCGACCCGGACAGUGCCGUAGCUAACGCGUUAAGUAUCCCGCCUGGGGAGUACGCACGCAAGUGUGAAACUCAAAGGAAUUGACGGGGGCCCGCACAAGCGGUGGAGUAUGUGGUUUAAUUCGAUGCAACGCGAACAACCUUACCAGGGCUUGACAUGUCUGGAAUCUUGGGGAAACCCGGGAGUGCCUUCGGGAGCCAGAACACAGGUGGUGCAUGGCUGUCGUCAGCUCGUGUCGUGAGAUGUUGGGUUAAGUCCCGCAACGAGCGCAACCCUCGUCCUAAGUUGCCAGCAUUCAGUUGGGCACUCUGAGGAGACUGCCGGUGACAAACCGGAGGAAGGUGGGGAUGACGUCAAGUCAGCAUGCCCCUUACGUCCUGGGCUACACACGUACUACAAUGCUACGGACAAAGGGCAGCCAACCAGCGAUGGUGAGCAAAUCCCAGAAACCGUGGCUCAGUUCAGAUUGCAGGCUGCAACUCGCCUGCAUGAAGGUGGAAUCGCUAGUAAUCGCCGGUCAGCAUACGGCGGUGAAUUCGUUCCCGGGCCUUGUACACACCGCCCGUCACACCAUGGGAGCUGGUCACGCCCGAAGUCGUUACCCUAACCUUUUUAGGAGGGGGAUGCCGAAGGCAGGGCUGGUGACUGGGGUGAAGUCGUAACAAGGUAGCCGUACCGGAAGGUGUGGCUGGAUCACCUCCUUUUAGGGAGACCAACCACAGUCAGGUGUGCAGUAUUAAUUACUCCCCGACUGUAGUCAUCCCAGGUCAUCGAGAUUAGUCUAUUAGCUUUCAAACUAUUGAUGGUUCGGUUCCAAAAUAUGGCAACACAUCUAGCAAUCUGACAAUCCGACAAUCACGAAAGUCAGCCUGCUGGAUUUAGUCCAGCAAGAACCUUGAAAACUGCAUAGCAACAAAAAAAGUAGGUAGUCAAAACUUACUACAAAGUGUGAAAGCACCAGUAGAAUGUAAUUGACAAAAAAAUAGUGGUCAAGAUAAUCAGGGCUGAUGGUGGAUACCUAGGCACACAGAGGCGAAGAAGGACGUGAUUACCGACGAAACGCUCCGGGGAGUUGGAAGUAAACAUUGAGCCGGAGAUGUCCGAAUGGGGCAACCCCAAGUACAGCCUGUUGAAUCCAUAGACAGGUAUGAGCCAACCCAGCGAAUUGAAACAUCUUAGUAGCUGGAGGAACAGAAAUCAAUAGAGAUUCCCUUAGUAGCGGCGAGCGAAGCGGGAACAGCCUAAACCACGAAGUAUAUCUUUGUGGGGUAGUGGGACAACAGAUACAAGACCAAAAAAGCUAGACGAAGCAGCCUGAUUGCUGCACCAGAGAAGGUGAAAGUCCUGUAGUUGAAAGUGGAUUUGGCUUAGUUGCAUCCCGAGUAGCACGGGUCACGAGAAAUCCCGUGUGAAUCAGCGAGGACCAUCUCGUAAGGCUAAAUACUCCUGUGUGACCGAUAGUGAACAAGUACCGCGAGGGAAAGGUGAAAAGAACCCCGCAAGGGGAG
rnacentral:rRNA from 1 species